UUCUACAUGAUGAGCUCUAAGCUUUCGCCCCUAUCUGAAAAUAAAGAGAAACUUCCAGUGUUGAAUGCGUGAUUGGUCUUACUGAAAAUCAUUU